AUCUCCGGUGAUGAUAGAAUGAAAACUUUCGUUCUUCCGAGGGAAGAUUUACUGCCCAUGAGGAAAAAGUUUAUGGAGACCUGAACUGAGGAGAU